GACGAACGCUGGCGGCGUGCUUAACACAUGCCAGUCGAACGAAGUGGCGAACGGGUGAGUAAUACGUGGGUAACCUGCCCUCCUUUUUGGGAUAAGCCUUGGAAACGGGGUCUAAUACCGAAUAAAGGGGGAGGGGCUCGCGGCCUAUCAGCUGGUUGGUGGGGGUAUGGCCUACCAAGGCGGUGACGGGUAGCCGGACUGAGAGUGUGACCGGCCACAUGGGGCCUGAGAUACGGCUCAGACUCCUACGGGAGGCAGCAGUGGGGGAUAUGGCACAAUGGGCGCAAGCCUGAUGCAGCGACGCCGAGUGGGGGAUGAAGGCUUUCGGGUUGUAAACCUCUUUCGCUCUCGAACGGGUAGGUGGAGAAGAAGCGCCGGCUAACUACGUGCCAGCAGCCGCGGUAAUUC
rnacentral:rRNA from 1 species